UGCUACAGGCUUAACACAUGCAAGUCGAGGGGCAGCAUGGUCUUAGCUUGCUAAGGCCGAUGGCGACCGGCGCACGGGUGAGUAACACGUAUCCAACCUGCCGUCUACUCUUGGACAGCCUUCUGAAAGGAAGAUUAAUACAAGAUGGCAUCAUGAGUCCGCAUGUUCACAUGAUUAAAGGUAUUCCGGUAGACGAUGGGGAUGCGUUCCAUUAGAUAGUAGGCGGGGUAACGGCCCACCUAGUCUUCGAUGGAUAGGGGUUCUGAGAGGAAGGUCCCCCACAUUGGAACUGAGACGCGGUCCAAACUCCUACGGGAGGCAGCAGUGAGGAAUAUUGGUCAAUGGGCGAGAGCCUGAACCAGCCAAGUAGCGUGAAGGAUGACUGCCCUAUGGGUUGUAAACUUCUUUUAUAAAGGAAUAAAGUCGGGUAUGGAUACCCGUUUGCAUGUACUUUAUGAAUAAGGAUCGGCUAACUCCGUGCCAGCAGCCGCGGUAAUACGGAGGAUCCGAGCGUUAUCCGGAUUUAUUGGGUUUAAAGGGAGCGUAGAUGGAUGUUUAAGUCAGUUGUGAAAGUUUGCGGCUCAACCGUAAAAUUGCAGUUGAUACUGGAUAUCUUGAGUGCAGUUGAGGCAGGCGGAAUUCGUGGUGUAGCGGUGAAAUGCUUAGAUAUCACGAAGAACUCCGAUUGCGAAGGCAGCCUGCUAAGCUGCAACUGACAUUGAGGCUCGAAAGUGUGGGUAUCAAACAGGAUUAGAUACCCUGGUAGUCCACACGGUAAACGAUGAAUACUCGCUGUUUGCGAUAUACGGCAAGCGGCCAAGCGAAAGCGUUAAGUAUUCCACCUGGGGAGUACGCCGGCAACGGUGAAACUCAAAGGAAUUGACGGGGGCCCGCACAAGCGGAGGAACAUGUGGUUUAAUUCGAUGAUACGCGAGGAACCUUACCCGGGCUUAAAUUGCAGAUGAAUUACGGUGAAAGCCGUAAGCCGCAAGGCAUCUGUGAAGGUGCUGCAUGGUUGUCGUCAGCUCGUGCCGUGAGGUGUCAGCUUAAGUGCCAUAACGAGCGCAACCCUUGUUGUCAGUUACUAACAGGUUCUGCUGAGGACUCUGACAAGACUGCCAUCGUAAGAUGUGAGGAAGGUGGGGAUGACGUCAAAUCAGCACGGCCCUUACGUCCGGGGCUACACACGUGUUACAAUGGGGGGUACAGAGGGCCGCUACCACGCGAGUGGAUGCCAAUCCCAAAAACCUCUCUCAGUUCGGACUGGAGUCUGCAACCCGACUCCACGAAGCUGGAUUCGCUAGUAAUCGCGCAUCAGCCACGGCGCGGUGAAUACGUUCCCGGGCCUUGUACACACCGCCCGUCAAGCCAUGGGAGCCGGGGGUACCUGAAGUGCGUAACCGCGAGGAGCGCCCUAGGGUAAAACUGGUGACUG
rnacentral:rRNA from 1 species